GUAGUCCACACCGUAAACGAUGAUUACUAGGUGUUGGAGGAUUGACCCCUUCAGUGCCGCAGUUAACACAAUAAGUAAUCCACCUGGGGAGUACGACCGCAAGGUUGAAACUCAAAGGAAUUGACGGGGGCCCGCACAAGCAGUGGAGUAUGUGGUUUAAUUCGACGCAACGCGAAGAACCUUACCAAGUCUUGACAUCCCUUGACGAUGCUGGAAACAGCAUUUCUCUUCGGAGCAAGGAGACAGGUGGUGCAUGGUUGUCGUCAGCUCGUGUCGUGAGAUGUUGGGUUAAGUCCCGCAACGAGCGCAACCCUUAUGGUCAGUUACUACGCAAGAGGACUCUGGCCAGACUGCCGUUGACAAAACGGAGGAAGGUGGGGAUGACGUCAAAUCAUCAUGCCCUUUAUGACUUGGGCUACACACGUACUACAAUGGCGUUAAACAAAGAGAAGCAAGACCGCGAGGUGGAGCAAAACUCAGAAACAACGUCCCAGUUCGGACUGCAGGCUGCAACUCGCCUGCACGAAGUCGGAAUUGCUAGUAAUCGUGGAUCAGCAUGCCACGGUGAAUACGUUCCCGGGCCUUGCACA
rnacentral:rRNA from 1 species